rnacentral:rRNA from 1 species
AUUGAACGCUGGCGGCAUGCUUUACACAUGCAAGUCGAGCGGCAGCGCGGGGGCAACUCUGGCGGCGAGCGGCGAACGGGUGAGGAACACAUCGGAACGUGUCCCGUAGUGGGGGAUAGCUCGGCGAAAGCCGGAUUAAUACCGCAUACGCUCUACGGAGGAAAGCCGGGGACCCGCGAGGGCCUGGCGCUAGGGGGGCGGCCGAUGUCCGAUUAGCUAGUUGGUGGGGUAAAGGCCUACCAAGGCGACGAUCGGUAGUUGGUCUGAGAGGAUGAGCAGCCCCACUGGGACUGAGACACGGCCCAGACUCCUACGGGAGGCAGCAGUGGGGAAUUUUGGACAAUGGGGGCAACCCUGAUCCAGCCAUGCCGCGUGCGGGAAGAAGGCCUUCGGGUUGUAAACCGCUUUUAGCCGGGAAGAAAAGGGCGGGGCUAAUACCCCUGUCACUUGACGGUACCGGCGGAAUAAGCACCGGCUAACUACGUGCCAGCCGCCGCGGUAAUAC